rnacentral:rRNA from 1 species
GCCGCAUGGCCGGGCCGGGAAAGGCGAGCCGGAAGGGGAUGGGCAUGCGGCGCAUUAGCUAGUUGGCGGGGCAGAGGCCCACCAAGGCGACGAUGCGUAGGGGUUCUGAGAGGAAGGUCCCCCACAUUGGUACUGAGACACGGACCAAACUCCUACGGGAGGCAGCAGUGAGGAAUAUUGGUCAAUGGGCGGGAGCCUGAACCAGCCAAGUCGCGUGAGGGAGGAAGGUCCUACGGAUUGUAAACCUCUUUAGCCGGGGAGCAACGUGCGCCACGCGUGGCGCAGUGAGAGUACCCGGAGAAUAAGCAUCGGCUAACUCCGUGCCAGCAGCCGCGGUAAUACGGAGGAUGCGAGCGUUAUCCGGAUUUAUUGGGUUUAAAGGGUGCGCAGGCGGCGCGAAAAGUCAGCGGUCAAAGUUCCGGGCUCAACCCGGUGACGCCGUUGAAACUUUCGAGCUGGAGUUCGUGCGAGGGAGGCGGAAUGCGUUGUGUAGCGGUGAAAUGCAUAGAUAUGACGCAGAACCCCGAUUGCGAAGGCAGCUUUCCAGCACGCGACUGACGCUGAGGCACGAAAGCGUGGG